AAUCGAUUGUAAGCCCUCCACACCGGAAAUUCAAGUUCGAUUCGUUGGUGGAUGCCCAUGAAGCCAAUCGUAUUAUCGAAGCCAAUCCUAAUAUCAUGACCCCAAAUUUUAAGCAGCCUAGGCUCAUCUCCAUCAAAUGUGGUAUGACGAUUCCCCAACACUAGAACCCACCUCCGCCCUCUUUUGCUUCUUUUGGAUUGGGUAUACGUGUAACUAUAAAGAUGGAUUAUCGGAUCACACCUCCUGCUAAGUGAGCCUUUCGUAAUGUUCCUCAAAACCAUAUAGUUCAUGAACUGACAAUGACAAAUAUAUUCCGCCAAAUAAGCAUGCAAUUACUUGAAAAUGUACGCGUCCAAUGUUGAGUUUCAACAUAAUCAUAUUCCUUCUUCUAGGUUUGAUAAUGUUGACUUUUAGGUUUCUUUUACACAUCCAUUGUUGUGCAAGCUCAAAUAGAUAAAAAUGGCAUGUACUUUACAAAUUCUAUUAUUUUUAUCUAUAAUACUUUGUUGUUGAAUCAAUUUUUUUUUCUCUUUUCCAUCUUAUAAUAUUCCUUAUUAUAAAGGGCAAUAAUAACAUUUCAAAAAAAAUUAGACUUUAUUGUACUAA